GUGCGCGAAACCGGGAUUAAAUGCGGCGCCUCGGUGCGGGAAAUGGUUGGAGUAGUCGGCGGGACAACGGCAAGGGCGUCCCCUGACAAAAAGGCCAUCUUCCGAGCGUUGCAGCCCCUUUCCACGCAAACAUACAAGCACUAUAAUUAUGGCGCUAAUGGUUGUCGUUGGAAGUUGCACGGCAAGUCUCCUAGUACGGACGCCCCAUGGGUCCAAAACGGAGCGCAGGCGCGUCGCCAGUGUUGCGCUGGCGGCCAGCGACCUGUACAAAUCAAGUGCGAGUGCCCGUAAAAAGGCGCAAGCACGUAAGCA
rnacentral:rRNA from 1 species